rnacentral:rRNA from 1 species
ACUUACGGCCAUACCAUCCUGAAUACGCCCGAUCUCGUCUGAUCUCGGAAGAUAAGCAGGGUCGGGCCUGGUUAGUACUUUGAUGGGAGACCGCCUGGGAAUACCAGGUGCUGUAAGUG